GGGUCCGCGGAUUUAUCGAGUCCGCGGAGGAGUUCUGCAAAUGGUCGGGCCGCCAUCUG
rnacentral:ncRNA from 12 species